AAACUACUGCAUAAAUGUGCCUAUAUGAUCUGAUACAUCUUCAAUCCAUGUAUGCCUACUUUCGUUUGAAUCAUAUUUUGAGAGGUUCGAAUUUUGUUGACAUUUUGGGGUCAGGCAAAAUUAUUGCAAUUUACCAUCGCAUUUUAUCGCGAAUAAACAUAUUAAUUC
rnacentral:misc_RNA from 1 species